UACGGGGGGGCAAGCGUUGUUCGGAAUUACUGGGCGUAAAGGCUCGUAGGCGGCCAACUAAGUCGGACGUGAAAUCCCUCGGCUUAACCGGGAACUGCGUCCGAUACUGGAUGGCUUGAGAUUGGGAGAGGAUGCGGAAUUCCAGGUGUAGCGGUGAAAUGCGUAGAUAUCUGGAGGAACACCGGUGGCGAAGGCGGCAUCCUGACCAACACUGACGCUGAUGAGCGAAAGCCGGGGGAGCAAACGGG
rnacentral:rRNA from 1 species